UCCAAGACCAAGAGAGACUGUGUCCCCGGGGACCCUAGAAUCCUGAUUCAUAAAUCCCUGAAUCACCAGGCUUGGCAAGAGUUCUAGGAGCUCCCUCACCCAUACCCUCCCAAGAAGCCCAGGUUCCCUCCCAAGACAGUAGGAUCCUGGAUAGCAUGGGGGGAGAUGUCCCCUCUCCCACUGGAUGGUGAUAACUCCCCCACCCUCCAGUACUUUCCCUCGUGGGGUCUUUGUGGCAGGAUCUGUGGAAGAGGCUAUAUCACCUCUUCCUCUUUCGUGUCCCGCUGUCUGGUGGCUCUGCCCAUGUGGUCUGCCUGUCUCCCUGCCACCCUCUUCUUGCUCGGUCUGUCUUCUGUCUCCCUGCCCCUUUCCUCCUUUGUUCUUGUCUCUUCCUCUUCAGCGAUCACAUAGGGAUAUUCCUGAGUCUGAAUUCUCCAUCAGACUCCAUUCUCUCUCUCCCUCCUUGUCUGUGUGUACACACACACAUGUAUUCUUGUGUCUGGGAUCCUGUAGGAUCUUCCCAUGUUACCAUAUGUCUUAAAUCUGUCACCUGGGAGACUCUACCUGUAUGAAUGAAUCCACGGGUGUCUGUCCUGGCUUCUCUGUGUGCUGGCUAGUCUGGGCACAAAUCCUGCGUGUGUCUGUGUGCCAGUCUGUCCUUGACCCAUGUGCAUUGCUUUGUCAGUCUCAGUGACACUAUCAGUCUGUGUUGGUCCUCACUUCCCUAUAUGUAUCUCUCACUUGGCUCUUCAUUGUCUAAGUCAUGUGUGUGCACGUGUACAUAUGUGCGUGUGUGGGAAUGUGUUUGGCCUUUCAACUCAGGAGGGCCAGGCUGUGCAGACUCCUCUCACAGAACGACCCCCCGCCAAGCCCCCAAGAAGAGCUCUGUAGGAGAAUCUGGAAGUUGAUGGCAUCUCAAGAGCUCAGCCCAGCUCAUCACCAGCUAGGGAAGGCCGCUUGGGAGCUCAACACAGCCACCUUCAGCCUGGGAAGACAUUUUUUACUUCAAACAGCCGGAAAGGGGAAAUAGAAAGGUUCCUUCUCCAACUGCUGACAGCUCACUUGCAGCCAGAGGAACUGAGGUGGAAUGAAAGGGUUUCAACAGAAGGGGGAAAAGCAGGUGAGGAAAAGGGAGUUGGAGACAUCCGUCCAGAGGAAUCUGUGAGGCAAAUCUCCGGGGUUGAGGAUUACUUCUGUUCAAAACCUUUCUGGAGGAGAAAAUGUCAGGGUUUGAGGAGAAAGGAUUUCUGUCCAGUGUUUGCUGGGACUCUUACCAGAUGGCUGGAGGUGAGGAAGAA